rnacentral:rRNA from 1 species
UACGGAAGGCAGCAGUGGGGAAUAUUGCACAAUGGGCGCAAGCCUGAUGCAGCCAUGCCGCGUGUAUGAAAAAGGCCUUCGGGUUGUAAAGUACUUUCAGUCGUGAGGAAGGUGUUAAGGUUAAUAACCUUAGCAAUUGACGUUAGCGACAGAAGAAGCACCGGCUAACUCCGUGCCAGCAGCCGCGGUAAUACGGAGGGUGCGAGCGUUAAUCGGAAUUACUGGGCGUAAAGGGCACGCAGGCGGUUAAUUAAGUUGGAUGUGAAAUCCCCGGGCUUAACCUGGGAAUGGCAUUCAAGACUGGUUAGCUAGAGUCUUGUAGAGGGGGUUAGAAUUCCAUGUGUAGCGGUGAAAUGCGUAGAGAUGUGGAGGAAUACCGGUGGCGAAGGCGGCCCCUGGACAAAGACUGACGCUCAUGUGCGAAAGCGUGGGGAGCGAAACAGGGAUUAGAUAC